rnacentral:sRNA from 1 species
CUUUGAUGGUGUGGCCGAAGUUCUUAUGAGUUUUUUU